GCAAGUCGAGCGAACAGAUGAGAAGCUUGCUUCUCUGAUGUUAGCGGCGGACGGGUGAGUAACACGUGGGUAACCUACCUAUAAGACUGGGAUAACUCCGGGAAACCGGGGCUAAUACCGGAUAAUAUUUUGAACCGCAUGGUUCAAUAGUGAAAGACGGUUUCGGCUGUCACUUAUAGAUGGACCCGCGCCGUAUUAGCUAGUUGGUAAGGUAACGGCUUACCAAGGCGACGAUACGUAGCCGACCUGAGAGGGUGAUCGGCCACACUGGAACUGAGACACGGUCCAGACUCCUACGGGAGGCAGCAGUAGGGAAUCUUCCGCAAUGGGCGAAAGCCUGACGGAGCAACGCCGCGUGAGUGAUGAAGGUCUUCGGAUCGUAAAACUCUGUUGUUAGGGAAGAACAAAUUUGUUAGUAACUGAACAAGUCUUGACGGUACCUAACCAGAAAGCCACGGCUAACUACGUGCCAGCAGCCGCGGUAAUACGUAGGUGGCAAGCGUUAUCCGGAAUUAUUGGGCGUAAAGCGCGCGUAGGCGGUUUCUUAAGUCUGAUGUGAAAGCCCACGGCUCAACCGUGGAGGGUCAUUGGAAACUGGGAAACUUGAGUGCAGAAGAGGAGAGUGGAAUUCCAUGUGUAGCGGUGAAAUGCGCAGAGAUAUGGAGGAACACCAGUGGCGAAGGCGGCUCUCUGGUCUGUAACUGACGCUGAUGUGCGAAAGCGUGGGGAUCAAACAGGAUUAGAUACCCUGGUAGUCCACGCCGUAAACGAUGAGUGCUAAGUGUUAGGGGGUUUCCGCCCCUUAGUGCUGCAGCUAACGCAUUAAGCACUCCGCCUGGGGAGUACGACCGCAAGGUUGAAACUCAAAGGAAUUGACGGGGACCCGCACAAGCGGUGGAGCAUGUGGUUUAAUUCGAAGCAACGCGAAGAACCUUACCAAAUCUUGACAUCCUUUGACCGCUCUAGAGAUAGAGUCUUCCCCUUCGGGGGACAAAGUGACAGGUGGUGCAUGGUUGUCGUCAGCUCGUGUCGUGAGAUGUUGGGUUAAGUCCCGCAACGAGCGCAACCCUUAAGCUUAGUUGCCAUCAUUAAGUUGGGCACUCUAGGUUGACUGCCGGUGACAAACCGGAGGAAGGUGGGGAUGACGUCAAAUCAUCAUGCCCCUUAUGAUUUGGGCUACACACGUGCUACAAUGGAUAAUACAAAGGGCAGCGAAUCCGCGAGGCCAAGCAAAUCCCAUAAAAUUAUUCUCAGUUCGGAUUGUAGUCUGCAACUCGACUACAUGAAGCUGGAAUCGCUAGUAAUCGUAGAUCAGCAUGCUACGGUGAAUACGUUCCCGGGUCUUGUACACACCGCCCGUCACACCACGAGAGUUUGUAACACCCGAAGCCGGUGGAGUAACCUUUUAGGAGCUAGCCG
rnacentral:rRNA from 1 species